rnacentral:tRNA from 2 species
AAGGUCUUAGCUUAAUUAAAGUAUUUGAGUUGCAUUCAAAUGAUGUAAGAUAGAGUCUUGCAGAUCUUA